rnacentral:rRNA from 1 species
UACGUAGGGUGCGAGCGUUAAUCGGAAUUACUGGGCGUAAAGCGUGCGCAGGCGGCUUCGCAAGUCAGACGUGAAAUCCCCGGGCUUAACCUGGGAAUGGCGUUUGAAACUACGGAGCUGGAGUGUGGCAGAGGGAGGUAGAAUUCCACGUGUAGCGGUGAAAUGCGUAGAUAUGUGGAGGAAUACCGAUGGCGAAGGCAGCCUCCUGGGCCAACACUGACGCUCAUGACACGAAAGCGUGGGGAGCAAACAGG